rnacentral:pre_miRNA from 1 species
CUUUGGAUCAUCUGGGGAUCUUGUUGCAAUACAGAUUCUGAUUCAGGAUUCUGCUUGGUAUGUGAGCUUCUUCAUUUCUAGCAACAUCCCAGUUGAUGAAAAG